rnacentral:lncRNA from 1 species
CUGCUUCUUAGUGCUCGGAUACUUCUCGAGUGGGCAUUUUCUUCACAUUAUCGCCUCCAAAACACUCCAUGUUGAUUCCUCUCAUAUAAUAUUCCCUGCGAAACAAAAGAACACUAUUCAGAGUCUUUUGUUGGCAAUUUAUCUAUAAAACACCAACAAAGUACGGUCAUAUUAAGGUGUAAAUAUCAACUAUAUAGCCUACUAUCAGUGUUCAUGGAAGUACAACGAGGACUGAACUCACAAAUGUUUAACUUAAAUGACUUAAAAUUUGACACUUCUCAAAAUAAUAGAUAAAAAUAGUCCGAUGAUUUGAAUUGAUGUUAUGUAUAUGGAAAAGAAUACAAGAUGAACUGAAUAAUGGAGAUCUAUCUAAAACUACGUAGAACACUGAUUGAAAGGUUUUGUUAAAGAAUGCAUACUAAUACUACUACUAAAAACAAUAAAACCAAAAAAAAAAAAAAAUAAUCAACAGUAACCAUCAAAAUGAUUUUGUUCUAGAGCACCAACAAUGCUGAUAAUAUUUUUCAUCAAGUUAUAAAAUAAUAGUAUCCAAGAACUUUCAUUAUUCAGUUCAUUUGAGUAUAUGGCAAUCUCUCUCUCUCUCUCAUGGGUACGUAAAUUGAAAUACUAAGGAAUGACUUGAAUCACAAUUCUACGAAUCUAAUUAGUAGAUAUAUUAAAUAAAUAAUGGUGAAUUAGGGCAUCAAUUUAACCUCGAAUUAAGCUAGUCAAGAAUCUUGCUAACCCUUUCUUGAACAAUACAUUUAUCAACAGUACCCUGCAUUGCAUGUAUUCUCCAUAUUUUCUAGUUAAGUCGGCUGUUAAUAGUAAGAGUCUCUGAUCUCGGUCAAUCAUCACCUCACGAGUUACCUUGCAUUUGAAUAAUUUCUUAACAUUGAACUCUUCAACUUGUCUUGAUACUGAUAAGCUUUUUCUCGCUCUCUAACUUUCUCUCUCGACGCAUUAUAGCGUGUUGGGCAUCCUACGCCUUGGCCGGAAAUGGGGAGGGGGAGGGGAAAACAUGGGCGAAUUUGUUUUCCAGUAAUAAGAUGGCGGCCAAAGGUAUGAAUCUGAAAUUUGUUGCUCCUACUAUCAGAGAUGGAACUUAAAUUGUUCAAUUAGAAAAAGAGGAUGUUGAACGAGAUAAUGAGAAAUGGAGACAAGCAAUUAUUUUGUAUGCUGUGGGAGAUUCUCCAAUCAUUGGAGCAGUGGAAAGGUUCAUCGCAAGUCAACGGGGAUUCACUGUUAAACCACGCGUAAUCUGAAUCCGAGAACAUCGAAUUCAACUCACGGUCAAACCUAUGAACUUUCCAAACCUUCAAAUUGUUAGGACCCGGUAGCACUAAACACUACUGCACAGCGGAAUAAAAUAAAUGAUCAAUGAAACCAAAAAUAAAUGACACAAUAUUUAACGUGGUUCACCUAAAACGUUUAGGCUACGUCCACAAAUCCGACACCAACUUCCACUAAAACAUUUAGCAGGCAUACAAAGAGAGACUUCCCCAAUAAUUUGGAGGUACAACAAUUCCUGAGCUCUACCCAAAAUAGUGGCGCACACAAAAGUGUUUCCCGAAAAAUACCCGACUAGUAUUUCUACUCACUAUUUUGUCACUCCCCUGUUAGGAAACAUUCCUAAAGGAACUAUAUCUCUCUCCCUCUCAAACUCUUUCUUCUUGAGUUUUGAUAUAUUUUUUUUGGUGU